UACGUAGGGACCAAGCGUUGUUUGGAUUUACUGGGCGUAAAGGGCGCGUAGGCGGCAAUUCAAGUCAUCUGUGAAAUCUCCGGGCUUAACUCGGAACGGUCAGAUGAUACUGCUUUGCUAGAGUGCGGAAGGGGCAAAUCGGAAUUCUUGGUGUAGCAGUGAAAUGCGUAGAUAUCAAGAGGAACACCAGUGGCGAAGGCGGCAUCCUGGACCGGCAUUGACGCUGAGGCGCGAAAGCCCAGGGGAGCAAACGGG
rnacentral:rRNA from 1 species